UGCGAUCAUGCCAGCACUAAAGCAUCGGAUCCCAUCAGAACUUUGAAGUUAAGCGUGCUUGGGGAGAGUAGUACUAGGAGGUCAGAGUAGUACUAGGAUGGGUGACCUCCUGGGAAGUCCUCGUGUUGCAUUGU
rnacentral:rRNA from 1 species